AGGAAGGCAGCAGUGGGGAAUAUUGGGCAAUGGGCGAAAGCCUGACCCAGCAACGCCGCGUGAAGGAAGAAGGUCUUCGGAUUGUAAACUUCUUUUAUCAGGGACGAAGGAAGUGACGGUACCUGAUGAAUAAGCCACGGCUAACUACGUGCCAGCAGCCGCGGUAAUACGUAGGUGGCAAGCGUUAUCCAGAUUUACUGGGUGUAAAGGGCGCGUAGGCGGGGAUGCAAGUCAGAUGUGAAAUCCAUGGGCUUGACUCAUGAACUGCAUUUGAAACUGCAUCUCUUGAGUGUCGGAGAGGUAGAUGGAAUUCCUAGUGUAGCGGUGAAAUGCGUAGAUAUUAGGAGGAACACCAGUGGCGAAGGCGAUCUACUGGACGAUAACUGACGCUGAGGCGCGGAAGCGUGGGGAGCAAACAGGAUUAGAUACCCUGGUA
rnacentral:rRNA from 1 species